rnacentral:rRNA from 1 species
AGGACGAACGCUUGCGACGUGCCUAAGAAAUGCAAGUCGAGCGAGGCAGCAAUGCCUAGCGGCGAACGGUCGCGUAACACGUAAGCAACCUGCCCCAAAGACCGGGACAACAGCUCGAAAGGGCUGCUAAUACCGGAUGUGGCCGUCGGGAGACAUCUCCUGACGAUUAAAGCGCGCAAUCGGCUUUGGGAGGGGCUUGCGGCCUAUCAGCUAGUUGGAGAGGUAACGGCUCACCAAGGCGACGACGGGUAGCUGGU